AUGAUAGCAGCUCAAGAACCAACAACUAAUUUUGCCCUAAUUCAGGAAUCUGAAACACACUUUUCUUCAGAUACUGACUUUGAAGAUAUAGAAGGAAAAAAUCAGAAACCAGGAAAAGGAAAGACCUGCAAAAAGGGGAAAAAGGCUGCGGGAGAAAAAGCCAAAGUUGGAAAUGGAGGAGGAAAAGCCGGUGGACUAAAUCGAAUGAAUGGGCAUCAUCAGCAGAAUGGUGUGGAAAACAUGAUGUUAUUUGAAGUCGUUAAAAUGGGCAAGAGUGCUAUGCAGUCUGUGGUGGAUGACUGGAUAGAGUCCUACAAACAUGAUAGAGAUAUAGCGCUCCUUGAUCUCAUCAACUUUUUUAUUCAGUGCUCAGGUUGCAAAGGGGUUGUAACAGCAGAGAUGUUUCGACAUAUGCAAAAUUCAGAAAUAAUUCGAAAAAUGACUGAAGAGUUUGAUGAGGACAGUGGGGAUUAUCCGCUCACCAUGGCUGGUCCUCAGUGGAAGAAAUUUAAAUCAAGUUUUUGUGAGUUCAUUGGCGUAUUGGUCCGGCAGUGUCAAUAUAGUAUCAUAUAUGACGAAUACAUGAUGGAUACCGUGAUUUCACUACUUACAGGAUUAUCAGACUCUCAAGUCAGGGCAUUUCGACAUACUAGCACACUGGCAGCUAUGAAGCUAAUGACCGCGUUAGUAAACGUGGCAUUAAAUUUGAGCAUUAAUAUGGACAAUACACAACGACAGUAUGAGACGGAGCGAAAUAAAAUCAUUGGAAAAAGAGCCAACGAUAGACUGGAACUCUUGCUGCAGAAAAGGAAGGAGCUUCAAGAAAAUCAGGAUGAAAUAGAAAACAUGAUGAAUGCGAUUUUUAAGGGUGUAUUUGUUCAUAGGUACAGGGAUGCAAUUGCUGAGAUUAGAGCAAUAUGUAUUGAAGAAAUUGGAAUUUGGAUGAAGAUGUAUAGUGAUGCCUUUCUCAAUGACAGCUAUUUAAAAUAUGUGGGGUGGACAAUGCAUGACAAGCAAGGGGAAGUGAGACUCAAAUGUCUUACGGCUUUGCAGGGGCUUUACUAUAAUAAAGAACUGAAUUCAAAAUUGGAACUCUUCACCAGCCGGUUCAAGGACAGAAUUGUGUCUAUGACUCUUGACAAAGAAUACGAUGUUGCAGUGCAAGCAAUAAAACUACUUACUCUUGUUUUACAGAGUAGCGAAGAAGUCCUGACUGCAGAAGACUGUGAAAAUGUCUAUCAUCUGGUUUACUCAGCUCAUCGGCCAGUGGCUAUAGCAGCAGGAGAAUUUCUGUAUAAAAAGCUUUUCAGUCGCAGGGACCCUGAGGAAGAUGGAAUUCUUAAAAGAAGAGGAAGGCAAGGUCCAAAUGCUAAUCUUGUCAAAACAUUAGUAUUUUUCUUUUUGGAAAGUGAGUUACAUGAGCAUGCUGCUUAUUUGGUGGACAGCAUGUGGGAUUGUGCAACUGACCUUUUGAAGGACUGGGAAUGUAUGAAUAGCCUUCUGUUGGAAGAACCCCUAAAUGGAGAAGAACCUUUAACAGACAAACAGGAAAGUGCACUAAUUGAAAUAAUGCUGUGUACAAUUAGACAGGCAGCUGAAUGUCAUCCCCCUGUAGGAAGAGGCACAGGAAAACGGGUCCUUACAGCAAAGGAGAAAAAAACCCAGUUGGAUGACAGAACUAAGAUCACAGAGCUUUUUGCUAUCGCACUUCCUCAGCUUUUAGCAAAAUAUUCUAUAGACGCAGAGAAAGUCACCAACUUGUUACAGUUGCCACAAUAUUUUGAUUUGGAGAUCUACACAACAGGGAGAUUAGAAAAGCAUUUGGAUGCCUUAUUACGACAGAUCCGGGAUAUUGUAGAAAAGCACACAGAUACUGACGUUUUGGAAGCUUGUUCUAAAACUUACCACGCCCUCUGUAACGAGGAAUUCACCAUCUUUAACCGAGUAGAUAUUGCAAGAAGCCAGCUCAUAGAUGAACUAGCAGAUAAAUUCAACCGCCUUCUUGAAGAUUUUCUGCAGGAGGGAGAAGAACCUGAUGAAGACGAUGCCUAUCAGGUCUUGUCAACAUUAAAGCGAAUUACUGCUUUUCACAAUGCACACGAUCUGUCAAGGUGGGACUUGUUUAGUUGUAACUACAAGUUACUAAAAACAGGCAUUGAGAAUGGAGAUAUGCCCGAACAGAUAGUUAUUCACGCACUGCAGUGUACUCACUAUGUAAUCCUUUGGCAGCUAGCAAAAGUAGCCGAGAGCAGUUCUACCAAGGACGACCUUCUACGCUUAAAGAAAGAGAUGAGAGUUUUUUGUCAAAUCUGUCAGCACUACCUUACCAAUGUAAAUACUGCUGUUAAAGAACAGGCCUUCACUAUUUUGUGUGACGUGUUAAUGAUCUUCAGCCAUCAGAUCAUGUCAGGAGCACGUGACAUGUUAGAGCCAUUAGUUUACUCUCCUGAUUCUUCCUUACAGUCCGAACUCCUGAGUUUUAUUCUUGAUCAUGUCUUCAUCGACCAGGACGAGGAUAGCAACAGUGCAGAUGGACAGCAGGAUGAUGAAGCCAGUAAGAUAGAAGCUUUGCACAAAAGAAGAAAUUUGCUUGCAGCUUUUUGUAAACUUAUUGUAUAUACCGUGGUGGAAAUGAACACUGCUGCAGAUAUUUUUAAGCAAUAUAUGAAGUAUUACAACGACUACGGAGAUAUCAUCAAAGAAACAAUGAGUAAAACGAGGCAAAUAGACAAAAUUCAGUGUGCAAAGACAUUGAUUCUCAGUUUACAACAGCUUUUCAAUGAGAUGAUCCAAGAAAAUGGGUAUAAUUUUGAUAGAUCAUCGCCGUCUUUCAGUGGGAUUAAGGAACUGGCUCGGCGUUUCGCUUUAACGUUUGGACUCGAUCAGCUGAAAACAAGAGAAGCCAUUGCUAUGUUACACAAAGAUGGGAUAGAGUUUGCUUUUAAAGAGCCUAACCCACAAGGAGAAAGCCAUCCACCUUUAAAUUUGGCAUUUCUUGAUAUAUUGAGCGAAUUCUCUUCCAAACUUCUCAGGCAAGACAAAAAAACAGUGUACGCUUAUCUGGAGAAGUUCAUGACCUUUCAGAUGUCUCUUCGAAGAGAAGAUGUGUGGCUCCCACUCAUGUCUUACAGGAAUUCUUUGCUAGCUGGGGGUGAUGACGACACAAUGUCAGUCAUCAGUGGGAUUAGUAAUAGAGGGUCGACAGUAAGGAACAAGAAGACAAAACCAGCUACAGGGAAGCGGAAACUCCCUGAAGCCGAGGAGAGCAGCAGCAGCGACAGCCUGUGGCUGAACAGGGAGCAGACCCUGCACACGCCCAUCAUGUUACAGACGCCGCAGCUCACUUCCACCAUCAUGAGGGAGCCCAAAAGGUUGCGACCGGAAGAGAACUACAUGGGCGUCUACCCCAUGCAACCCGAGCACCAUCAGCCACCCAUCGACUACAAUACACAGGUAACAUGGAUGCUGGCUCAAAGGCAGCAGGAGGAAGCAGCCAGGCAACAGCAGGAGAGGGCAGCUAUGAACUACGUGAAGCUGAGAACCAACCUGCAGCACGCCAUUCGACGUGGCACUAGUCUCAUAGAGGACGACGAAGAGCCCAUCGUUGAAGAUGUGAUGAUGUCAUCAGAAGGGCGCAUUGAGGAUCUCAAUGAAGGCAUGGACUUUGACACCAUGGACAUAGACCUACCACCAUCAAAGAACAGAAGAGAAAGAACAGAGUUAAAGCCGGAUUUCUUUGACCCAGCAUCAAUCAUGGAUGAAUCUGUUCUCGGGGUAUCAAUGUUUUAAUAGUAGUUCAGCAAAUAACUCCGUGGUAAAGUCAUUUUCUACUGUGGAAGAGGAGAUUUUUAAAUUAAAAAAGUGUAGAUAACAGUGAUAUUCUGAACAAGAUUUUUUUCUCUAAGGAGAAUUGAUGUGCUUACAGGAUCCAGUGCAUUGAAGGGGGCAGUUUUCUUUGCCUGGAACAAUAAAGGACAAGUAAACGACUUGAGGAUAAGCUAUUGUUUCUGUUGGGAAACCAGUAUUUUAUUUAUACAAUGUUUAGUUUAUUUCCAACUCAUAGUAUAAAUAUCACUUAAAAAAAAUAAUCCUAGCAUCAAAGAGGUGCUUAGUGUACGCACUUCUGUCAUUGUUGAACAUACUCAAGCAAUUAUAUAUAUAUAUAUUUUCUAGAUUAUCAUUGAAAGCAUCAGUUUGGAAAUCUGUGUAAUUAGAUGAAAGAAAAGCAUUUUUAAUGUGAUAUUUAAAUUCUGGUCAACCAAAACUUUACUUUUGGUUGUGAUAAUCAUGGAAAUAAAUUACAAGUGAUUUUUUUAAAAUUCAGAAAUUAUUAUAGAAUAUUAAAAAAAGAAAAAAGAAACAACACACACCAAGGCUUCCUUUACAUAUUCAUGAAACAUUUAAGAAUCAUAAAUGCCAGAAAGCACUGAUAUCAUUUCAGCUUACCCAUCUCUAACCCUAAGAGUUUGCUUGUCCUUUAAGAAAAGCAAAUGUAAUAUUGUGAGAUUCCUUCCAGUAGUGCCACUGUAUUUUGUCUCCAAAUAAAGAAGCUUAUUGUAGUAUGUUUGCAGAAAAAAAAAUUCUAAACAAAAAUAUACAGCUUAUUAGAGUGUGGGAAUAGGGGUCUAAAUUUUAAAUAAAAAAGUAUAAAUAUAUAUAUAUAUAUAAAAAAAAUUGGUGCUGAUUUUAUAAUUGCGCAGUUUUAGUUUUUUCUUACUUUUAAAUUCCAACUUAAAAAUUAUGAGGUUUCAGAAAUAUAUUGAAAGUUUAACAAUGUUUAAAAAUAGAUUUAAGCAUGAGAAUUCAUGCUUUAAAAUGAUUUUUAAAUUUGUAUUUUAUAUUGUUUUAUCUAUCUCUGUCUUUGCAAGCAGUCUUCAGGUUAAUGAUACUUCUAACAGGUUACAGGACAUUUCUUCUGUAUGUAAAUUGAAUUGGGUGAUAGAACUUCAUCAGUAUCCCAUCAUAUUCUUUGAAAGCUAAGCUUUAAAUGAAUUUCAUUGUUUUUUUUUUCCCCACAGUUAAAUUAAAAAAAAAUUUAAAACCCAUGGAUUUAUGUCAUUUCAACAUGAUUCAUUUUCAACCAUGCUUAGGCAGCUAGACGACAUUUAAAGGAAAUAUUAACUUAUAACACAAAUGUAUAUUUUUGUCAGUUGUCUCUCAGUUCUUGAGGUAUAUUAUUUCUAAUCAUUCCAUUCGCCUUAAUAUGCUUGCAAUAUGAUAAUUUCUUCAAAUAAGCAAAUAGAAGAACCUCUUAGACAAAAGGAAAAAAAAUAAAGCUUGGGCUGUGGUAGCCAUAAACCAUAGAUUCUCUAAAGGAUCCUGAUAACAUAAUUAUUUUGAAAAUCAUGAUGUAAUACACAGAGCCAGUUUUGCAUAACUCCAUUUUGCAUAAAUAUUCACAUGUCUAAAAUACUGCCUAUAUUUCUUUCUUUCUUUUCCUUCUUUACACCACUGCGUUUAAAUAGAACUGCUGAGAGGACUGUAUAUAUGAUUUUGUUGAUUUUUUUUCUUACUCUUGAAGGAGUUUCUUUGUGAAAGCAGUUCUUACAGCUUUACGUUUUCCAGACUAAAAAUGUUUUAUAUAUUUACCUUAACCUGUUGUCCUCCACAUUUUAUCGUCCUAAUUGUACUGUUUUCUGAUUUGUAUUUAUGUCUUGAGACAAGUAACUUUUUGAAUAAAAAUAAACCUACAGUAUGUUGUAAGUUUGAUCUUUUUGAAUCAAAAGGUAGAGGAAGAAAAUAAAAAGAGUG